rnacentral:misc_RNA from 1 species
GAUGAAGAACGCAGCGAAAUGCGAUAAGUAAUGUGAAUUGCAGAAUUCAGUGAAUCAUCGAAUCUUUGAACGCACAUUGCGCCCAUUAGCAUUCUAGUGGGCAUGCCUGUUCGAGCGUCAUUUCAACCCUUAAGCCCUGUUGCUUAGCGUUGGGAGCCUACAGUACUGUAGCUCCCCAAAGUUAGUGGCGGAGUCGGUUUCACACUCUAGACGUAGUAAUUUUUUCUCGUCUGUAGUUGAGCCGGUCCCCUGCCGUAAAACACCCAAUUUAUCAAGGUUGACCUCGGAUCAGGUAGGAAUACCCGCUGAACUUAAGCAUAUCAAUAAGCGGAGA